GACGAACGCUGGCGGCGUGCCUAAUACAUGCAAGUCGAGCGCAGGAAACUGACGGAACUCUUCGGAGGGAAGGCAGUGGAAUGAGCGGCGGACGGGUGAGUAACACGUAAGGAACCUGCCUCAAGGAUUGGGAUAACUCCGAGAAAUCGGAGCUAAUACCGGAUAGUUCAACGGACCGCAUGGUCCGCUGAGGAAAGGCGCUUCGGCGUCACCUAGAGAUGGCCUUGCGGUGCAUUAGCUAGUUGGUGGGGUAACGGCCCACCAAGGCGACGAUGCAUAGCCGACCUGAGAGGGUGAUCGGCCACACUGGGACUGAGACACGGCCCAGACUCCUACGGGAGGCAGCAGUAGGGAAUCUUCCACAAUGGACGAAAGUCUGAUGGAGCAACGCCGCGUGAGUGAUGAAGGUUUUCGGAUCGUAAAACUCUGUUGUAAGGGAAGAACACGUACGAGGGGAAAUGCUCGUACCUUGACGGUACCUUACGAGAAAGCCACGGCUAACUACGUGCCAGCCGCCGCCGUAACAC
rnacentral:rRNA from 1 species